rnacentral:rRNA from 1 species
UACGUAGGGAGCAAGCGUUGUUCGGAUUUACUGGGCGUAAAGGGCGCGUAGGCGGCGUGUUAAGUCAGCUGUGAAAUCUCCAAGCUCAACUUGGAACGGCCAGCUGAUACUGAUGUGCUAGAGUGCAGAAGGGGCAAUCGGAAUUCUUGGUGUAGCGGUGAAAUGCGUAGAUAUCAAGAGGAACACCUGAGGUGAAGACGGGUUGCUGGGCUGACACUGACGCUGAGGCGCGAAAGCUAGGGGAGCGAACAGG